rnacentral:rRNA from 1 species
UGGGGAAUAUUGCACAAUGGGGGAAACCCUGAUGCAGCGACGCCGCGUGAGCGAAGAAGGCUUUCGAGUCGUAAAGCUCUGUCCUAUGAGAAGAUAAUGACGGUAUCAUAGGAGGAAGCCCUGGCUAAAUACGUGCCAGCAGCCGCGGUAAUACGUAUGGGGCGAGCGUUGUCCGGAAUUAUUGGGCGUAAAGGGUACGUAGGCGGUUUUUUAAGUCAGGUGUCAAAGCGUGGAGCUUAACUCCAUUAAGCACUUGAAACUGGAAGACUUGAGUGCAGGAGAGGAAAGUGGAAUUCCCAGUGUAGCGGUGAAAUGCGUAGAUAUUGGGAGGAACACCAGUAGCGAAGGCGGCUUUCUGGACUGCAACUGACACUGAGGCACGAAAGCGUGGGUAGCAAACAGG